rnacentral:rRNA from 1 species
AUACGGAGGGUGCAAGCGUUAUCCGGAUUCAUUGGGUUUAAAGGGUGCGCAGGCGGACUUGUAAGUCAGUGGUGAAAUCCCGGGGCUCAACCUCGGAACUGCCAUUGAUACUGCAAGUCUUGAGUUUGCUUGAAGUGGGCGGAAUGUAGCAUGUAGCGGUGAAAUGCAUAGAUAUGCUACAGAACACCGAUCGCGAAGGCAGCUCACUAAACCAACACUGACGCUCAGGCACGAAAGCGUGGGGAGCGAACAGAAUUAGAAACCCGAGUAGUCC